GGGUUCGUUGCGGGGUUUCUGGCCCGGCGAGUUCCGGAUUCGCCUGACCCAAGUGCUGGUUGCCUGGGCGGGUUUGC
rnacentral:tRNA from 1 species